GGAGUAACAAAAAGAAGUCCAUAGGAUUAUGGAAAAAUACAAAGAUGAUCUCAAUAAACCUGGACUGGGUUUACUUUAAUAUAGCCCAGGCAACUUAAAAACUGUUGCUUGUAAACAAAUAAACAAUUAGAAGAAUCGAAUAGAAACAUUAUGGAAAGUUCCACCUACAUUUGUUCUCCCUCAAAUUUCCUUCCCCCUCCAUCAACAAAAAGAUGUACCAUAAAAACAAUAUAUACUACCCCUCCUAUUAAUUUGAUUUGUUUGGCUAAACACGAAAAUGAGUUAAUAGAGUCUUAUCUCGCUAGGCGACAAGCUGAUCAAGUUGCAUCUGCUCAA
rnacentral:misc_RNA from 1 species